rnacentral:rRNA from 1 species
GUCGAGCGAACAGACGAGGAGCUUGCUUCUCUGACGUUAGCGGCGGACGGGUGAGUAACACGUGGAUAACCUACCUAUAAGACUGGGAUAACUUCGGGAAACCGGAGCUAAUACCGGAUAAUAUAUUGAACCGCAUGGUUCAAUAGUGAAAGACGGUUUUGCUGUCACUUAUAGAUGGAUCCGCGCCGCAUUAGCUAGUUGGUAAGGUAACGGCUUACCAAGGCAACGAUGCGUAGCCGACCUGAGAGGGUGAUCGGCCACACUGGAACUGAGACACGGUCCAGACUCCUACGGGAGGCAGCAGUAGGGAAUCUUCCGCAAUGGGCGAAAGCCUGACGGAGCAACGCCGCGUGAGUGAUGAAGGUCUUCGGAUCGUAAAACUCUGUUAUUAGGGAAGAACAAAUGUGUAAGUAACUAUGCACGUCUUGACGGUACCUAAUCAGAAAGCCACGGCUAACUACGUGCCAGCAGCCGCGGUAAUACGUAGGUGGCAAGCGUUAUCCGGAGUUAUUGGGCGUAAAGCGCGCGUAGGCGGUUUUUUAAGUCUGAUGUGAAAGCCCACGGCUCAACCGUGGAGGGUCAUUGGAAACUGGAAAACUUGAGUGCAGAAGAGGAAAGUGGAAUUCCAUGUGUAGCGGUGAAAUGCGCAGAGAUAUGGAGGAACACCAGUGGCGAAAGCGACUUUCUGGUCUGUAACUGACGCUGAUGUGCGAAAGCGUG